rnacentral:lncRNA from 1 species
UUUCUGAUCCUCUUUGGAUUUCAGGCUGUUGGGUUGCUUCCAGCUGCUCCGCUCCCCAACUGUUGUCCUGUUCUCUGAUGCUCCCAUCCCCCAAGAUGCCUCUCUACAGCCAUGCUGUUAACCAUUCCUUCUCCACCCACAUCAGUUUGGGUCCUCAUAAGCACCAGAAUCAUUUCCCUAAAGUGAUGUCAUUGGAAAAGUAUGAGGAAGGAUUAGGGAGAAGGUGGCCUUCUCAGUCAGGGCCAGUGCUGGUGUGAGAGGUUCAAGGACAAAGGUAAAGUGUUCCUCACCUCCAAGAUGAACUUUCCUCCCAUGGUGGGAGUCGAAUAUUUCAGG